rnacentral:rRNA from 1 species
GACGAACGCUGGCGGCGUGCUUAACACAUGCAAGUCGAACGAUGAAGCCGGAGCUUGCUCUGGUGAAUUAGUGGCGAACGGGUGAGUAACACGUGAGUAACCUGCCCUUGACUCUGGAAUAACUGCGGGAAACUGUAGCUAAUACCGGAUACGACCCUCGGAGGCAUCUCCUGGGGGUGGAAAGAAUUUCGGUCAAGGAUGGACUCGCGGCCUAUCAGCUAGUUGGUGAGGUAAAGGCUCACCAAGGCGACGACGGGUAGCCGGCCUGAGAGGGUGACCGGCCACACCGGGACUGAGACACGGCCCAGACUCCUACGGGAGGCAGCAGUGGGGAAUAUUGCACAAUGGGCGCAAGCCUGAUGCAGCAACGCCGCGUGAGGGAUGACGGCCUUCGGGUUGUAAACCUCUUUUAGCAGGGAAGAAGCGAAAGUGACGGUACCUGCAGAAAAAGCACCGGCUAACUAUGUGCCAGCCGCCGCAGUAA